rnacentral:tRNA from 1 species
GCACCCGUAGCUCAGCUGGAUAGAGCGUUGGCCUCCGGAGCCAAGUGCGGGGGUUCGAGUCCCUCCGGGUGCG